rnacentral:rRNA from 1 species
CCCUUAGAUGUUCUGGGCCGCACGCGUGCUACACUGAUUAAUUCAAUGGGUAAGGGAACGCUAGAGCAUUACCUAAUCUUGAAAUUUGCUCGUGAUGGGGAUCGACGGUUGCAAUUUUCCGUCGUGAACGAGGAAUACCUUGUAGGCGCAUGUCAUCAUCAUGCGCCGAAUACGUCCCUGCCCUUUGUACACACCGCCCGUCGCUCCUACCGAUUGAGUGAUCCGGUGAGGCUCUGGGACCUGGACGGAAAGAGCGUUUCGCUUGUUCUGUUUGGGAAACUUGGUCGAACCUUAUCAUUUAGAGGAAGGAGAAGUCGUAACA